rnacentral:scRNA from 1 species
GCGGCAAAGGACGGGCUGACGGGUAUUGCAUAGGAUCUGUCUGAUAGCUCGGCGGCUGC